UUACGUUUACGGCACGUUUGACGAUGAACAGACAUCGACUUCGGUGUAGAAGAGGUGACAUCCAAAGGUGGUGGUGGUGUUGGUAGUGCGGCUGUUCAGAACUCCUUUCAGCCCUCCACAGCCGCAGUUGAACGCGAUCCGCAGUCUUCGACGGUCGUCCGUUCGUCCGUUGCGGUUUUCCGAUCUCGCAAUUUGUCGCGAAUUUUCGUUAAUCUUGAUCGAUAUGUCACAGAUAUAGUUACCCUAAUCAAUAACAGAUUAUAUCCCGAAGACGCGCUUUUCCAAAUAUUGAUAUAAAUGCGAGAUAAAAUGGAAUGAGAAAAAAAUUCUAUUUUGUUUUGAUACAGUUCAAAAUAAUUCUUUGAUUUUAUUGGUGCACAUUUAAAUUUUUCAAAGUUCGUGAAGUGAGGAAUGUUUCGAAGCAGUACGAUCAAAGCGAUUGGAUAUUUCAUUACUGGAAGUCGUACACCGUGAAAUGUUGGAAUUCAGAUCACGUGGUUUCUGAUUAAACGCAUCGUUUCCCGGUAUGUAAACAAACUGUAGAAAAUGAUAAUAAAUUAACACUACG